UACGAAGGGGGCUAGCGUUGCUCGGAAUCACUGGGCGUAAAGCGCACGUAGGCGGCUUUUUAAGUCAGGGGUGAAAUCCUGGAGCUCAACUCCAGAACUGCCUUUGAUACUGGGAAGCUUGAGUCCGGAAGAGGUGAGUGGAACUCCGAGUGUAGAGGUGAAAUUCGUAGAUAUUCGGAAGAACACCAGUGGCGAAGGCGGCUCACUGGUCCGGUACUGACGCUGAUGUGCGAAAGCGUGGGGAGCAAACAGG
rnacentral:rRNA from 1 species